GAGGCGAUGGUUAACGGUUUUGGAUAUUCAAAACUGUAAUUUUUGGGGGCAUUGUUUACAACAAUGUCCCCUUUC
rnacentral:tRNA from 1 species